rnacentral:rRNA from 1 species
AUGGAAGAUAAAAUUUUAGCAUCCGCAGAAAGAAAAGCAAAUGCGAUCAUUAAUAAAAAUUCUGUCGUUAAUAAUAAUAAUAAAGAUAAGAAUAUUAUUCAAAAAGAAGAAAUUGUUAGUGAAGAAGAGCAAUGGGAUAUCAAUAAUAAGUUAUUAUUAGAAAGUUAUGAGGAAGAGGAGGAAUUAAUAAAAGAAAUGCGGUUAGAAGAUGAAAGAUAUGAUGAUUCAGAACAAAAUAGUGAUUUCUAUAACUCACUAGAUGAUGUGGGACUACAUAAUUUAGACAAUGCAAUGGAAGCCAUGGAAGUAGAAAGUAGUGGUAAAAGAAGAAGGGGAUAUGGUGAAUCAUCUGUGAAAAGAGAAGGAGAAAGAGAGAGACCUACCAGGACAACUGGACAAUGGCCUCCAGAAAAAGAUGAUUACCAGCCUACAUAUAUCCCAGGACAAUAUAGAUACAUGGGUACUAAAAGAAGAGAUUUUGAAAAACCAGUGCAAUUCCAAAAUUACAAAAAUGAUGGUGCUAUAUUAAACCAAGCAGCUCAUGACCCAAUAGAUUGGCCGAAUAUAAUUAGCAUAUGGAAAGGUUUAAUAGCACAAAAAUAUAUACAAAACCAGUAUAGCAUAGCCACUAAGGUAGAAGAUAUGUUAACAUAUCUUGAAACAUUUUUAGGAGAAUCUGUAAAAGUUCUUUGGGAACAAUGGGUAGAAUCAUACCCUAGUCAAUAUGAAGAAUUAAAAAGGGCAGGAAGUAACCCUAAUAACUUUGCGAAUGUUAUCUCAAAUAUGAUCAUAGCAGAAGAUCCUGAAUUAGGACAUACCUCAUUGCAAAAUGAAAGGUUAAGAGAAAUAGAAAAAUUAACAUUAACUAGCUGGAAAGGUAUUAAAGAGUUUUCCCAGCAUUAUUUGUAUAAUGCUACUACUGCUAAACAAGGUUUUAAUGUAGGCGUAGUAGAAAGAUAUUUUAAUAAGUUGCCUGAUCCCCUAGGGUCAAUAAUAUUUGAAGAAUAUAAAAAGGAAACGGCGGGAAACGUGGUAAACAUAUCUCAAGCUGUAACAUUUGUUUUCAAACAAUUAAGAAAGGUGUGUACUAGUAUUCAAGCCCAAAGAUCUAUGAAGAAAUCAGAUUAUAAUUUUUGCAAUAACAUAGUCCAAAUACCACUUACAUAUGGAGAAGAAAGGCAUAGGAAAACAGAUGAAGUAGAAAAUGAGGCUCCAGAAUAUGAAUCAAGUGAAGAUGAAAUAGACCUAAUAGAUGAUUUAGCCGAUGAAAUUACAAUAAGAGAUUUGUCAGUAAUAAAUGAUGACAUGAUAAUAGGGUUAAGAUUUUUACAACAAUCUUUACAAACCACAAUCAUACAUGAAGAGGGGGUAACAUUUAUUCCUUAUCAAAAUAAUGUUCCAUACAUAUCUGAAGUGCGAAAACAAAGAAAGUCCUUACAAAAUGUAGAAAUAUCUAAUUUAGAUGAUGAAUAUAGCACAAGUCCAGAUCCCCUUGAAUUCUGUAAAGACGAAGAACUUAGUGAGACCAUAGAAGAAUAUCAUAUAGAAAAUACAUGUACUGAAUGCAUUGGGUUGCAAUCAUUCUCUCCAAAUUGA